AGCGAACGCUGGCGGCAGGCCUAACACAUGCAAGUCGAACGGAUCCUUCGGGAUUAGUGGCGGACGGGUGAGUAACACGUGGGAACGUGCCCUUUGGUUCGGAACAACUCAGGGAAACUUGAGCUAAAACCGGAUGUGCCCUUCGGGGGAAAGAUUUAUCGCCAUUGGAGCGGCCCGCGUCUGAUUAGCUAGUUGGUGAGGUAACGGCCCACCAAGGCGACGAUCAGUAGCUGGUCUGAGAGGAUGAUCAGCCACACUGGGACUGAGACACGGCCCAGACUCCUACGGGAGGCAGCAGUGGGGAAUCUUGCGCAAUGGGCGAAAGCCUGACGCAGCCAUGCCGCGUGAAUGAUGAAGGUCUUAGGAUUGUAAAAUUCUUUCAGCGGGGACGAUAAUGACGGUACCCGCAGAAGAAGCUCCGGCUAACUUCGUG
rnacentral:rRNA from 1 species